rnacentral:rRNA from 1 species
GGGGGCUCAAACGAGUUGCGAGACUCGGAACCAUCGCGAACGUUACCUUUUCGUCGCCGCCGUUGCCUCGGCGGGCGGCGGCUCUGCUGCCCCCUCCCCCGCGCGAGCGGGGGGCGGGGUGGUGGGGCCGCGAGGCCCGCCGGGGGGACGCGGAACCCUCUGUUUUUAUUCUCCUAGCGCCUCUCUGAGUGGAUACAGCGAAACAAGUCAAAACUUUCAACAACGGAUCUCUUGGUUCUGGCAUCGAUGAAGAACGCAGCGAAAUGCGAUAAGUAAUGUGAAUUGCAGAAUUCAGUGAAUCAUCGAAUCUUUGAACGCACAUUGCGCCCGCCAGUAUUCUGGCGGGCAUGCCUGUCCGAGCGUCAUUUCAACCCCUCAAGCCCAGCUUGGUGUUGGGGCACUACGCGCCCCGCGCGCGUAGGCCCCGAAUUGCAGUGGCGGGCUCGCCGCGACCCCGAGCGCAGUAGCACAACUCGCUCCAGGGCGCCGCGGCGGGCGCCUGCCGUGAAAGCCCCGCAACACGCAACAGGUUUGACCUCGGAUCAGGUAGGAAUACCCGCUGAACUUAAGCAUAUCAAUAAGCGGAGGAA